UACGUAGGUGGCAAGCGUUUGUCCGGAAUUAUUGGGCGUAAAGCGCGCGCAGGCGGCCUCUUAAGUCUGAUGUGAAAGCCCCCGGCUCAACCGGGGAGGGCCAUUGGAAACUGGGAGGCUUGAGUAUAGGAGAGAAGAGUGGAAUUCCACGUGUAGCGGUGAAAUGCGUAGAGAUGUGGAGGAACACCAGUGGCGAAGGCGACUCUUUGGCCUAUAACUGACGCUGAGGCGCGAAAGCGUGGGGAGCAAACAGG
rnacentral:rRNA from 1 species